rnacentral:rRNA from 1 species
AUGGGCGCAAGCCUGAUGCAGCCAUGCCGCGUGUGUGAAGAAGGCCUUAGGGUUGUAAAGCACUUUCAGUCAGGAGGAAAGGUUAGUAGUUAAUACCUGCUAGCUGUGACGUUACUGACAGAAGAAGCACCGGCUAACUCCGUGCCAGCAGCCGCGGUAAUACGGAGGGUGCGAGCGUUAAUCGGAAUUACUGGGCGUAAAGCGUACGCAGGCGGUUUGUUAAGCGAGAUGUGAAAGCCCCGGGCUUAACCUGGGAACUGCAUUUCGAACUGGCAAACUAGAGUGUGAUAGAGGGUGGUAGAAUUUCAGGUGUAGCGGUGAAAUGCGUAGAGAUCUGAAGGAAUACCGAUGGCGAAGGCAGCCACCUGGGUCAACACUGACGCUCAUGUACGAAAGCGUGGGGAGCAAACAGGAUUAGAUACCCUGGUAGUCCACGCCGUAAACGAUGUCUACUAGGAGCUGGGGUCUUCGGACAACUUUUCCAAAGCUAACGCAUUAAGUAGACCG